AGACCAAUCUGAAAUUCAGAUAUGAUAAGGUCAGAAAUACUUGUGGCUUGUCAUAAAAUGAACUCAGAUUAUCAGGAAGAUGAAGUUUACUUGAUCUCUGAGUUAAGCCUCAGUUCCAGUUUUGGAUUUCCAUCCAGAAGGCUUAAUAAGACUGCAACUCCAAUAGCUUGAACUACUCUUAAACUUAUCAACAUAAUCUCUAUACCUUUCUCUGAAUGUUCUCUUCAACAAUAUCCCAAAUUGUUCUCCCCAGCUCAAUGUCCAAUCUUUCUUGACUUGAAUUGCUAUUUGGAGGUACUCAGGUGCCUUUGCACGCUGAUGAUUCUCUUCCUUUUCUUUUGGCUCAAGCUGAGUUUUGUAUUUGAGUUGAAGGUACUAAUAUGAGACAGAAGGAACUGUUAAACUGAUAGGGAGACUUAUGAGACGUUCAGAGAGAUCAAAGAGAAAUUGGAGUAUUCUUACUUUGAUUACUGCCCUAUCAGAAUCAGGAGCCUCGGGAAGUGCUGAUAGAUCUUGGGGCACACUUAUGUCAUUCACUUGUCCGGUUGCUAAAUCAAGCAAGAACUCUGCAGGAUUCAUGGCAAUAUCUGGAAUGAAUCUCAAAGAAGAAAAGUAUUCCAUAGAAUCUCUAGCCUUCCCAUAGUACACAGGGUGGCCUUCUGAUAUCAGCAGAAGCUUGUCAAACAUGUGGAACAUUCUGCUUGAAGGCUGAUGGAUCGUCGUGAUUAUUGUCCUUCCUGCCUUAGCUAGUCCUUGAAGGACCAGAAGGAGUCUAUUCGCUGAAGUGGAAUCAAGGCCUGAGGUUGGUUCAUCAAGCAACAACAAUGACGGAUCAACUAGAAUUUCAUGGCCAAUGCUGGUUCUUUUUCUUUCUCCUCCUGAUAUUCCCUUAAUGAAUCCUCCUCCAAUUCUUGUGUGGCGACAUCUAUUGGAUACAGAAGAAAUUAAAGAGAAUUCAUUAUAAAAGCAUCAAAUAGCCACCAGUAACAGUAUCAUAUAGUUUAUCUGUUGUUCAUGAUCAAUUAAGU
rnacentral:misc_RNA from 1 species